rnacentral:tRNA from 1 species
ACUUUUUUAGUAUAAAAAUUAUAUUUGACUUCCAAUCAAAAGAUCUUGUUAAAGAAAAAGUA